rnacentral:tRNA from 1 species
AAGGAUAAAGUUCUAUGAACGUCUCAGUUACAUUGAGAAGGUCUCUUGUGAGUGUUCUUA